CCGAAACGCCACAAGAUCAGUCACAAGGCAACGAAAGUUGCGUUUAGAUAAAUUCAUCAUGUAGUUCUCGUAGAAAAAAAAAAAAACAUUUAAACAAAUACAAGAAAUGUAUAUUAAUAUAUAUAAAUUCGCACUCUCUUCUCCGCACAAAUACAAACAACAAAUAAACGCGUAAAAUGUAAAAUCGUACAGACAAUAAGCAAUUGCUUUUUUUUUGAGUGCUAUUACUGAUUUGCGGUCUUUUAUAUAUUUUUAAUUAAUGCUCACGUGGAACAACAUAUUAUAAAAAAAAAAAAAAAAAAAAAACAAAGCUGGCUAUAUAAACUUGUAAAAGAAACUGAGAAUUUAAAAAUAAUGUCUUUUUGAACAAAAUGUGCGUAUGUGUAAAACAUAAAAAACUGCAUUUAGACAGGAAACUUAUAAAUUAUAAAUACAACUCGAUAAAAAAAAGACUACUUCAGUAAUAGCACCUUUUAUUGUGCACUUGUGAAAAAUAUCCAAAUAAUUUUGUGAAAAAUAUAAAAAAUGCUUCGAUCGUUCGGUCGCGCGAAAAAAAUGAUAAAAGAUCUAGAACAUCAUGGGCCAGCCAGCAUUAUCCACUUGAUCGUCUUGAGUGCGAAAAUUGAAAGACCCAUUUAUGUAUGGAAUAAUGAUGGGACUUUAUACACGGUUGUUGGCAAAGAAAAAACAGGCAACCCUGUAGACGUAGAAUAUCAUACGACUGAUCCGGAACAAACAGGACACUGGACACUGAAACACGGCAAAGAUCCGACCAACGUUAGUUUGAACUUGAACAGCUGUUUAUUUUCCGUAAUCGGAUCUCAAAUCGGACAAGAUCCAUCAACACUGCGAGGAUGGACUUUGGUGAAGUUAAUGAGCAACUUUCGACAUUUGGAUGCCAAGAUGAAAAAGAUACUUCAAUUGGGAAAGAACGGCAGGAAGUUAUUGUUAAUAGGAGGAGCGCGUUAUUGCGGCACGUCAAUCGCGGAUGCAAAACAGAUUCUAGAUUACUCGCAAAACAAUUUUCAUCAUCCUUUGUUUCUUGACCAAGCAUGGAUUGAGAAGGGCCAUCCGCGGGGACACGCCUAUCUAGCGGAAAACGAAAGAGAGGAGGUUUUAAGAGGAAGACGAAUAGACGAUAUUUGUACCGUUGAAUCUUAUUCAAAGCGAGAUACUCUAACGACCGCUUUCUUAUCGUGGAGAGACCAAGAUUUUUGCGCCCAUUUAGCCUUGCGGUCACAGAAAGCACAAGAUAUCAUGAGAAAACUUAAUACUUUGUGCAAGACCGAACCCAAAGUGGUUGAGGAGGAAACCUCUACAUGUUCACAAUCGACUGACAUUUCUAAAGUCGAAUUAGAAGAAUGUGCUCUACGAUUAGGUAUAGAAAGAGAUUUACCUAAAAUUCAUAAGUGGCGUAAGGGGCGAAGAUUGAGACAGCUACGAAACUUACAGGGAGUAAUAUUGGUUUUGCGCCAUCGAUACUGUCAAGCCGCGAAUCGACAUGCUGACGUUUUCGUCUAUACUUUUUACCCAACAUUUAUUUAAAACAGAAAAUGUAAAGGAAGAAAGGAAAUCUGGAUAAAAAUGCAGUUAAACACAUAAAUUUUAUAAUUUUGAUAUCUCGUUUGAUCGCUGUUGCAACUGUAAAACACUGUUGUGCAACAUGAAUUUAUAUAGGUGGUAAUUUCGUACAACCAAGAAAGCAAACCGUAUCCCCGCAUAAGAAGCAGGGACGCGCUGGGGAUUCUGGUGGCGGAAACAAUGACUUCCAAUAUCAGUUUCUAAAGAGAAAACAAAUCGAACACUUUAUAUUGACACACAAAUUAAUAAUUUAUAUUAAGCUGUUUAUAUAUACAC